ACGUUACCCGCAGAAGAAGCACCGGCUAACUCCGUGCCAGCAGCCGCGGUAAUACGGAGGGUGCAAGCGUUAAUCGGAAUUACUGGGCGUAAAGCGCACGCAGGCGGUCUGUCAAGUCGGAUGUGAAAUCCCCGGGCUCAACCUGGGAACUGCAUUCGAAACUGGCAGGCUAGAGUCUUGUAGAGGGGGGUAGAAUUCCAGGUGUAGCGGUGAAAUGCGUAGAGAUCUGGAGGAAUACCGGUGGCGAAGGCGGCCCCCUGGACAAAGACUGACGCUC
rnacentral:rRNA from 1 species